UACGUAGGGUGCGAGCGUUGUCCGGAAUUAUUGGGCGUAAAGAGCUUGUAGGCGGUUUGUCGCGUCUGCUGUGAAAAUCCGGGGCUCAACCCCGGACUUGCAGUGGGUACGGGCAGACUGGAGUGUGGUAGGGGAGACUGGAAUUCCUGGUGUAGCGGUGGAAUGCGCAGAUAUCGGGAAGAACACCCGUGGCGAAGGCGGCUCUCUGGGACGGUACUGACGCUGAGACGCGAAAGCGUGGGGAGCGAACAGG
rnacentral:rRNA from 1 species